GUCAGUGUGUGUGCUGUAAAAGC
rnacentral:piRNA from 1 species